UAGGGCACCACAAGAACGCGUGGAGCAUGUGGCUUAAUUUGACUCAACCCGGGAAAUCUUACCAGGUCCAGACAUAUUGAGGAUUGACAGGCGAUAGUAUAUAAAAUAUAUUUUUAUAUGCAUAAAAAUGAUAGUCCUUUCAUGAUUAUAUGAUAGGUGGUGCAUGGCCGUUCUUAGUUCGUGGAGUGAUUUGUCUGCUUAAUUGCGUUUCAGUAAAUAAAAUAUAUAAUAUAUUAUAAUAUUUAGUUCUGCCAUUUAUUUAUGGAUUUAAAGUGAACAUAUUAUAUAUAUUAUUAUAUAAUAAAUGAAUGCAACGAACGUGACCGUAACCUUUUAUUGCUAUUGAAAAUUAUAAUUAUAGCAUAAAAUUAAAGGAACCGCUGUCAUUACUAAAUAUGUGUUAAAAUAGAGUAAGAUUAUGGCAAUAACAGGUCUGUGAUGCCCUCAGAUGUUCUGGGCUGCACACGUGCUACAAUAAUUACAUUAAUAAGUAUAUAUACUUUAUAAUAUAUAAUAUUAUAUUACAACCUAUUUCGAAAGUAAAUCGGUAAUCAUUUAAAAAUCGUGAUUAAUUAAUAUAAAUAUAAUUAAUUUAAGGUGGGGAUAGUGUAUUGUUAAUUAUUACACUUGGCCUUAACUAGGAAUGCCUUGUACUCUUCUUUGGUUUAACAUACCAAGAGGAAUACGUCCCUGCCCUUUGUACACACCGCCCGUCGCUCUUACCGAUGAAUUAUAUUAUAAAUCUAAGGGAUUUAUUAUAAUUAAAAUAUAAAAAACUUAUAUACAUAAUGUGAUUUAAAGGAAAGAGAAGUCGAACAAGGCA
rnacentral:rRNA from 1 species